rnacentral:rRNA from 1 species
GACGAACGCUGGCGGCGUGCUUAACACAUGCAAGUCGAACGGAAAGGCCCUGCUUUUGUGGGGUGCUCGAGUGGCGAACGGGUGAGUAACACGUGAGUAACCUGCCCUUGACUUUGGGAUAACUUCAGGAAACUGGGGCUAAUACCGGAUAGGAGCUCCUGCUGCAUGGUGGGGGUUGGAAAGUUUCGGCGGUUGGGGAUGGACUCGCGGCUUAUCAGCUUGUUGGUGAGGUAGUGGCUUACCAAGGCUUUGACGGGUAGCCGGCCUGAGAGGGUGAACGGCCACAUUGGGACUGAGAUACGGCCCAGACGCCUACGGGAGGCAGAAGUGGGGAAUAUUGCACAAUGGGCGGAAGCCUGAUGCAGCAACGCCGCGUGCGGGAUGACGGCCUUCGGGUUGUAAACCGCUUUCGCCUGUGACGAAGCGUGAGUGACGGUAAUGGGUAAAGAAGCACCGGCUAACUACGUG